UGGGAAAAUGGAGGAGAACCGAAAAGGAAUAGGCCAGACUUGAUCCUCAACAGGCCAGGACUGUUGAUUGAGGAACAGCAAGGGGCACAGACCUUCCCGUGGGUUUGGAGGUUGGGGGAAGGGGUGAGAUUUGGG